AACGGCCAUACCAAGCUGAAAGCACCGGUUCUCGUCUGAUCACUGCAGUUAAGCAGUAUCGGGCGCGGUCAGUAAUUGGGAGGGUGACCACCCGGGAACACCGCGUGCUGUUG
rnacentral:rRNA from 13 species